rnacentral:rRNA from 1 species
AGUCGCAGUUGUAGCUCGUAGUUGAUUUUGGCCUUGGUUUGUGAGGUUCGGCCUUCCUGGUCGGUACCUUUACGAACCGGGCUCCACCUUCUGGGUUAGCCGGUUGUUACUUCGGUGCAGCUGGUGAACCAUAACUUUUACUUUGAAAAAAUUGGAGAGGUUAAAGCAGGCUUUCAAGCUUGAACAUAUUAUCAUGGAAUAAUGAAAUAGGACUUUGGCCUAAUUUCGUUGGUUUCUAAAGCCAACGUAAUGAUGAAUAGGGAUAGUUGGGGACAUUAGUAUUCAAUUGUCAGACGUGAAAUUCUUGGAUUUAUUGAAGACUAACUUCUGCCAAAGCAUUUGUCAAGGAUGUUUUCAUUAAUCCCGAACGAAAGUUAGGGGAUCGAAUACGAUCAGAUACCGCCCUAAUCUUAACCAUAGACUAUGCCCACUAAGGAUCGGAUGGUGUUAUAUUUAUCUUGACCCAUUCGACAUUUCAACAAAAGCCAAGUUUUUGGGUUCCGGUGGGAGUAUGGUCGCAAGGCUGAAACUUAAAGGAAUUGACGGACUGGCACCACCAGGAGUGGAGCCUGCGACAUAUUUUGACUCAACACGGGGAAACUCACCAGGUCCAGACAUAGAAAAGGUUGACAGAUUGAGAGCUCUUUCUUGAUUCUAUGGGUGGUGGUGCAUGGCCGUUCUUAAUUCGUGGAGUGAUUUGUCUGGUUAAUUCCCAUAACGAACGAGACUCUUACUCUGCUAAAUAUCCAGCAUGACUUUGCGUCGUGUCCUUAUUCGGCUUCUUAGAGAGACUAUCAAUGUUUCAUUGAUGCAUGUUUGAGGCAUGAACACGCCUGUCGAUGCACCUUAGAUGUUCUGGGCGCA